rnacentral:rRNA from 1 species
AACGAACGCUGGCGGCAUGCCUAAUACAUGCAAGUCGAACGGGAUCUUCGGAUCUAGUGGCGCACGGGUGCGUAACGCGUGGGAAUCUGCCCUUGGGUUCGGAAUAACUUCUGGAAACGGAAGCUAAUACCGGAUGAUGACGUAAGUCCAAAGAUUUAUCGCCCAAGGAUGAGCCCGCGUAGGAUUAGCUAGUUGGUGGGGUAAAGGCCCACCAAGGCGACGAUCCUUAGCUGGUCUGAGAGGAUGAUCAGCCACACUGGGACUGAGACACAGCCCAGACUCCUACGGGAGGCAGCAGUAGGGAAUAUUGGACAAUGGGGGAAACCCUGAUCCAGCAAUGCCGCGUGAGUGAUGAAGGCCUUAGGGUUGUAAAGCUCUUUUACCCGGGAUGAUAAUGACAGUACCGGGAGAAUAAGCUCCGGCUAACUCCGUG